GUAGGGAAUUUUGCGCAAUGGACGAAAGUCUGACGCAGCAACGCCGCGUGAGUGAUGAAGGUCUUCGGAUUGUAAAACUCUGUUGAAUGGGAAGAAAAACUCCGGGUACAAUAUGCCUGGGGUCUGACGGUACCGUUCGAGGAAGCCCCGGCUAACUACGUGCCAGCAGCCGCGGUAAUACGUAGGGGGCAAGCGUUGUUCGGAAUUACUGGGCGUAAAGGGAGCGUAGGCGGGUCAGUAAGUUAGAAGUUUAAUGCACAGGCUUAACCUGUGACUUGCUUUUAAUACUGCUGGUCUUGAGUAUGGAAGAGGGAGAUGGAAUUCCAGGUGUAGCGGUGGAAUGCGUAGAUAUCUGGAAGAACACCAUUAGCGAAGGCGGUCUCCUGGUCCAAUACUGACGCUGAGGCUCGAAAGCUAGGGGAGCAAACAGGAUUAGAAACCCGUGUAGUCC
rnacentral:rRNA from 1 species